rnacentral:rRNA from 1 species
AACGAACGCUGGCGGCGCGUCUUACCCAUGCAAGUCGAGCGCAGGCAGCAAUGCCGAGAGCGGCGGACUGGUGAGUAACACGUGGAUAACGUACCCCGAUGUCCGGGACAGCCUGUAGAAAUAGAGGGUAAUACCGGAUAGAUCACUGUUUACGUGAGGUAGACAGCGGGAAAGGAGCUUCGGCUCCGCGACGGGAUCGGUCUGCGGCCCAUCAGCUGGACGGCGGGGUAAAGGCCCGCCGUGGCGAGGACGGGUAUCCGGCCUGAGAGGGCGGACGGACACAUUGGGACUGAGAUACGGCCCAGACUCCUACGGGAGGCAGCAGGUAAGAAUAUUCCGCAAUGGGGGGAACCCUGACG